rnacentral:tRNA from 1 species
AAAAUAUUAAGUUAUAAAAAACUAUUAACUUUCAAAGUUAAAAAAAAUAAAUAAUUAUAUUUUU